GCCUAGCUAGCUCAGUUGGUAGAGCACCGUAAGUACAAUAUUCCUCCCCCCAAAAGCCUUCUCUAUGUACAGUAUGUUUGAUAUAUAUCUCCGGGCGGGGAGAUCUAGGCGGGGCACCAUGCAUGCCGUUGAAAGACAGCGCGAUGCGCAGGUUAGGAAGAAUAGGUACCGAUACAUAGAGAUAGGGGUUGAGGGGAGGAGAGCGUAACAAUGUACGUUGUUGCGGGGUCGCAGGUUCGAAUCCUGCGCUGGGCG